GGGCAGGAAUCAGGUCCCAUGGGGCUGGGGAUCCAAUCUGGUGAGGAGUUGAGGGGUCGCUGGGGUAGGAAAACAUACCUGAGACCCCAGUGGAGGGUGUGAGCAGGACAUUCCCUCGCCCCAUGAGCUGACUGGCCCCCUUUCGACCUGGGCCUCCCAGGGCCCUGUCCUGGUCUCCAAGACCAGGGCCUUCGGCUUCUCAGCAUUGCUGUCCAGAAAAGGCGGGAACAAGGACAAAGUCAAGCCCGAUGUGAAGCAGAGGUGGCAACACCUAAAACUGGCAUCCCAUGGGGGCAGAAAAUGUGGAGAGAGUGUCUCAGAGGCCUUCUGGGGUGAAUCCAAGCCCAAAAGGGAUAUCCAGGCAUGCUGGCGAGGGCCACUGAGGAUACCCCCAAGAAAGCGAAGCACAAGCAAAGCACACCUGAAACCAUAGGAGGGCCUGUGCCGGAGUCCAAGCCUCCUCCAGGGAUUCCUGCCAGAGGAGCCAAGAGGAUCCUGCAAAGUGAUCCAGCACCCACACCGGGAUCACAACCCACCACCGGGUCUACACCCAGCUAACCCCCAGUCCCUUUUGCUCCGUGAAAUCCCUGGCAACGAAAAGGUGCAGUGCUGAGAGGCAGUCCCAGCCAGGAACAGAGCAAUGGGAGACCCCUCAACAAUGAGAAAACACCAGCAGAUGAGAUGAAACAUAGCCUUCAUUAGAAGGCAAAGGCCAGCUACGGCUGGCUACCUCUCAUUCUAUGUGAAUCAUGCAGCCAUCUGAUGCAAUGGGGAGACCAAGAGUUUCCUUAUUGGGGAAAGCUACGGGCACCCACGGUUCCAAGAGCAUCACAGCUACCCAGUCAUUAAGAAAUGUGAGUGUUGAGAAGGAAACACUCAUCACCUACGUCCCCGCCAAGGUGGUCCUGGACGAACUGGGAAACAUUUGCUGUGAAGGACGUUCUGGAGGACUGUGAGCCAGACCAAGGAAAACCUGGGCCGACGAGAAUCAGGGAAGGCAAGAAAAGAGGGAGAACAGAGUAGAGGCCGCAGCCCAGGCAGGAUCAAUCCAUCCCACUCCCAUGUGCCUCGGGGAACCAGGGUCCAACAGGGGACCUGGCCAGAAAGGCGACAGUCUUCGGUCCAAAGGUUCUCCGAACACUCGUGUCUUCUAUCGCCAGCACAGCGCCAUGGUGUGGACAGGUUGUACAGUGAAGAGGAAAAGGGGAUGGCGUUGGAAACAGUUUCUUUGACAUCUGUCUGCACCUGUUCUGCAGGUGAAGGUGCGAGACCUCCUCCACACCUCAGCGGAUUGUAUCUUCACCCCCAUCUGACCUUUUUUCUGCACACAUCCUUUAAUCCAGAAUGAAAUCUGAAGAGGAUGAAGGAGUGCCCGCCUCAGGUCCUGAAGCUGCGACUCCGCCAGCCACCGAAUUAGAAGUGGGCUCAAGGGGGUACUGAGGACAGGACAGCUAGGGUCCGUCCAGCCUUGGGUGUGCCGCAGGACCAUGGGCCCCUGGAGGAAUUUGUUCUUGGUUGUCGUGUGCUGGUCUUCUUUCUGGAAGAGUGGGCGGCUUGGGAGGGGAGGUGAUUUGGACGUUUGCGGGUCGCAGCCAGCCCCCCACUUCACCGAGGCUUUAGGAACCAAGAGCGAAACAAAGAACGCUUGCCCCGCAACCCAAGCCCGGCCAAAGAGACGGGCGCAUCAGAGCGUAGGCGAACUACAGAGAAACCGCGCUUCACUGCACGAGCCACAUUUCUUUCACCGCACACCACACACACACUCACACGCACACACAGAAAGACACACGGAAACAUCCAACAGUCGCACAGAAACACACACAGCCAGGCAGCUCCUGAGGCUGCGCGGUUCUGCUCUCUGCCAGGAAACCCCUCCGGAAAGAGAGCGCCCCGGGGAACACAGGCAGGCCGUACCUCGAAAUCCCAGCGGGGACACCUGUCAGGGAGACGCACCCUCACACCGCCCAUGCAUGCCCGACGCAUCUUUGGGAUCCUUAGGGAUCACGUGGUGCUUCCUUGAAUCUCCGCUUGAGGUUUCUUCAGGCAGGUUCGGCCUUGCCCGACUCCUAGGAUCGCAGGACCAUGGCGACGAUCCCGCGGAGAGGGGACGCACUGCCACAGACGCCUGGGGGCCAAGCCGCUGGGGCCAGUCCCCCGGCAACGGUGGCGGUUACUGUGACGCGAGUCCCCCCUCAGCGCUAGCGCCUGGUGAUCGCGCCUGGUACGUGCACUUUCGCGUUCCCGGUUUGUGGGCCGCAUUGUCAGGGCUCUCAGGCUGCAGCCCAAUAGGAAAACAGUGGAGGCCGUGCAGGCGGCGGUUCGGGGAAGGAGACUGCAUGCGACAAGCAGCGCAGGACCCUGACUGUCGUGACCUCAGUGCCUCCUUGAGCCGACCUCGUGUUUGGGUCCGGGUGUAGGAGGAGGUGCUUCAGACCGUGAGACAUUGAUAAAUGCUGUCAUGAAAAGACAAGGAACAUGAAAAGGUAAGAAAAGGGAUGGAGAGAGAUGGGAUGAGGGGUGCCUGGGCAGACAAUGCAAUGAUCUGGC
rnacentral:lncRNA from 1 species